UUCAGUGGCGAUGGCUAUGAGGGUCCACCUGUUCCCAUCUCGAACACAGUAGUUAAGCUCAUAAACGCCGAAAGUACUUGGCUGGAGACGGCCUGGGAGGAUAGGAAGCCGCUGAUU
rnacentral:rRNA from 1 species